CCUACGGGGGGCUGCAGUGAGGAAUAUUGGUCAAUGGGCGGAAGCCUGAACCAGCCAAGUAGCGUGCAGGAUGACGGCCCUACGGGCUGUAAACUGCUUUUAUACGGGAAUAACGCGCCUUUCGUGUAGGGCUUUGCAUGUACCGUAUGAAUAAGGACCGGCUAAUUCCGGGCCAGCAGCCGCGGUAAUACGGUAGGUCCGGGCGUUAUCCGGAUUGAUUGGGUUGAAAGGGAGCGUAGGCGGCAUGUCAAGCGUGCUGUGAAAUGUCCGGGCUCAACCCGGGCCUUGCAGUGCGAACUGGCGUGCUGGAGUGCGCGGAAGGCUGGCGGAAUUCGUCGUGUAGCGGUGAAAUGCUUAGAUA
rnacentral:rRNA from 1 species